rnacentral:tRNA from 1 species
GCCCGGGUGGUGGAAUGGUAGACACGGAGGACUCAAAAUCCUCUGCCCCCAAGGCGUGCGGGUUCGAGUCCCGCCCCGGGUA